GGUGGCUCAGUGGUAGAGUGCUUGCCUUGCAUGCAUGAGGCCCUGGGUUCAAUUCGUCAGCACCA
rfam:Dipodomys ordii contig_68222, whole genome shotgun sequence.